UACGAAGGGGGCUAGCGUUGCUCGGAAUCACUGGGCGUAAAGGGUGCGUAGGCGGGUUUUAAGUCAGAGGUGAAAUCCUGGAGCUCAACUCCAGAACUGCCUUUGAUACUGAAAAUCUUGAGUAUGGGAGAGGUGAGUGGAACUGCGAGUGUAGAGGUGAAAUUCGUAGAUAUUCGGAAGAACACCAGUGGCGAAGGCGACACACUGGCCCGUUACUGACGCUGAGGCGCGAAAGCGUGGGGAGCAAACAGG
rnacentral:rRNA from 1 species